GCGUGGUUAAAGACUUUGGUCGUGUGCUUUUCUCCCCCCAUUCCUUACCUGGUCACUUUCAAAAAAGUUGCACAGAGGAAAGCAACUCAACUGGACCCUCCUUUAUCCCCCAGCCAACUGACCGACACACCCACAUCGAUUGAUGAGGAAAUAUAUCGUAAUAUAAUAUUUAAAUCAGGAUGUGAAGCUGCAACCUAUAGAACAGGGCUCACACACAUAUUAACAAGUUCACUUCUGUCGAAACAUGUUUUCACUCGGAAUGGGAGAGUCCGGCAGAGGCACGAAAGGUCCAAGGCUGUGGAAAUUACUUCAGCAGUGGAUUCUACUACAAGCAGUUUUUUGGGGUCCAGAGGCUGCAGAUGGUGUCUGCCUGUGUGUUGACAAUGUUAAUUUCAGGACUUUUAAAGUUAGCCAGGUGAGAGAAGAAUGUUGCUUAAACUUCACUGGUUCUUACAUUGGCAGCCUCCAAUGGGAUGUCUUCACAACUUUGUCAGGAAUCAAGGUCCUGGACCUCUCAAAUUGUAACAUUUCUGACAUUCACAAAGUGGAUGAAAACCCAAGUUCUCUGGAGGCUCUAUACCUCGAUCACAAUCAGCUCGAACAAUUACCUUCUAAUUUCCUCAUAAAUGCACCCAGUUUAAAGAUCCUUCACCUGGAGAAAAACCAUCUUCAACAGUUACCAGAGAACAUUUUAAAGGCUUCAGACCAGAUUCAGGAGCUGUACCUAGAUACCAACAAUUUAAAAUCUAUACCUUCAAGUGUCUUUAAACCCAGCCUCAUGAUACUGUCUGUUUUCAAUAACACCUUGGAGUGCACAUGUGCCUUAUAUGAUGGCUUGGCAAAUUAUAUUACUAAAAAUCUAAGCAUCAGUGGAUCAGAAAAUAUGAUUAUGUGCUACACACUGACGCACCCUGAAGGUCUGAAUAUUAUAGACAUUCAUCACUCAGAUAUCUGCCGUUCCUAUGGUCUCACAGCUCUCUUUAUUUGCCUACCAUUGCUUGCAAUUCUUGUAGUGGUGUUAUGUUGCUAUUGCUGGAAAAGUAGAAGGUCUGAUUUUAAAGCCAUGAGACAAGACAGUCAAAUUUGCACCAUCGAGAAAUCUAGCUUUUCAAAUGUAGGGGAUCAUCAUUAUAUAACCUGCAGGACUCCAGAGACAACUCACAUUCCCACAGGAUAUGAAAACAGUAUUCUCGCAAGAAACCAGCUUAUGUUACGUCCUUCAACAGCAUUGCUGGGAAGUAACCGUGACUUGUAUGAAGAAGUGGAAAUUAAGCCAAGUGUUUCUGUUGACUCAGUCACAUGUGUUAAUGUGUCCAAUAAUAAAGUGGAAGAAGAAGGUGCAGUUGAGGAAGUCCAUGCUGAGCCAGCAUUGGUGAACGUCACAGAGGAGUUACAAGAGUCAGAUCAUCAAAGGCUCUACAUGAAUAAGUCAGCAAAUUACUACAAUCUAGUUCCUGAUAUUGAAUUAGAUGAUUCUGACCAUGGUGAAUAUGAAAAUAUCGAUUUGUCUUAAGUGAUGUGGGAUAAUUUGUAUAGGAGACUUCUCGAAAGCCAGAGUCAAACAUUUGACAGUAUGCAAGACUGCCUUGGGCUGAUGAAGAUGGACUGUAUUUUAGCACAUUCAUGUGAAGAUUAAAAACAGAAUAAUUGAUGGGAGAGACACAUUACUGAGGUUAAAUUAUAGACUUACCAUUGGGAUAAUGCCAAUAACAUUAUAACUGCUCGUUAAUAUGUGGGAUAUCAAAGUAGUGUUUUCACCUAGGUCCAAGAUGUAGUUCAAGUUUUAAGUUGCCAUUCUAUCAAUGAAAAGCAAAGUUCUGGCAAAUAAAUAUAAAAAGAAGUCAGGGAGUCAAAAGGGAGAGAAAACAUCCAAAAAGAUGCAUGUCCUAAUAUUUUCCUGGUAACUUUGAAUAUUUUUCAAAUAUAAUCCAAUUGGAAGUGUGGACUGUCUUUAUGACAGGCACCAAUAGUUCAGUCUAGGAGUUUGAAUCUAUCUUACCCUAACCCACCUGGCAAAAACUGAGUGGGUUUGGGGUGAAUACGAAGUUUAUGGCCAUUCUGAUUGAAAUUAAAGAGGGCAAAAUUAGACCAGGCAUAUUUGAAUUCACCCAUAACUCAAGUUAAGAUUAAAAUAGAGCAUCACCAGUUUGAUCAGAAUUCUAUAUCGUGUUUAUAGUGAUUCAUUGUUAAAUUCAAACAGCCAGUACAGGACAGAGAAAAGACUUGUCUUCUAAUGGUGUCAUCGUUUAUUAUAUCUUUGAAAUCUUACUUGCAAUACUUUCUGACAGGUGUAACUGUCUGUUCAGCUGGUUCAACAAGAUGUUUGGAAUGAACCUCCUGCCUGUCCUCAGGUCUCAAUAUUCUUGCAGGUCGGAAAAGAAACAGCCACGAUUAAAACAAGCUGUAACAUUAAUUUCGGAGAUGUGGGAGAACGGUAUGAGACAUGCCACACCAGCUGGGCUUUUCUGCCCCAUGGAGAAGAACA